rnacentral:ncRNA from 1 species
AUCCUGGGGCUGUAGUCGGUCCCAAGGGUUGGGCUGUUCGCCCAUUAAAGCGGUACGCGAGCUGGGUUCAGAACGUCGUGAGACAGUUCGGUCCCUAUCCGUCGUGGGCGCAGGAAAUUUGAGAGGAGCUGUCCUUAGUACGAGAGGACCGGGAUGGACGCACCGCUGGUGUACCAGUUGUCUUGCCAAAGGCAUCGCUGGGUAGCUAUGUGCGGACGGGAUAAGUGCUGAAAGCAUCUAAGCAUGAAGCCCCCCUCAAGAUGAGAUUUCCCAUAGCGUCAAGCUAGUAAGAUCCCUGAAAGAUGAUCAGGUUGAUAGGUCAGAGGUGGAAGCGCGGUGACGUGUGGAGCUGACUGAUACUAAUCGAUCGAGGACUUAACCUA